GACGAACGCUGGCGGCGUGCUUAACACAUGCAAGUCGAACGGAAAGGCCCUGCUUUUGUGGGGUGCUCGAGUGGCGAACGGGUGAGUAACACGUGAGUAACCUGCCCUUGACUUUGGGAUAACUUCAGGAAACUGGGGCUAAUACCGGAUAGGAGCUCCUGCUGCAUGGUGAGGGUUGGAAAGUUUCGGCGGUUGGGGAUGGACUCGCGGCUUAUCAGCUUGUUGGUGGGGUAGUGGCUUACCAAGGCUUUGACGGGUAGCCGGCCUGAGAGGGUGACCGGCCACAUUGGGACUGAGAUACGGCCCAGACUCCUACGGGAGGCAGCAGUGGGGAAUAUUGCACAAUGGGCGGAAGCCUGAUGCAGCAACGCCGCGUGCGGGAUGACGGCCUUCGGGUUGUAAACCGCUUUCGCCUGUGACGAAGCGUGAGUGACGGUAAUGGGUAAAGAAGCACCGGCUAACUACGUGCCAGCAGCCGCGGUGAUACGUAGGGUGCGAGCGUUGUCCGGAUUUAUUGGGCGUAAAGGGCUCGUAGGUGGUUGAUCGCGUCGGAAGUGUAAUCUUGGGGCUUAACCCUGAGCGUGCUUUCGAUACGGGUUGACUUGAGGAAGGUAGGGGAGAAUGGAAUUCCUGGUGGAGCGGUGGAAUGCGCAGAUAUCAGGAGGAACACCAGUGGCGAAGGCGGUUCUCUGGGCCUUUCCUGACGCUGAGGAGCGAAAGCGUGGGGAGCGAACAGGCUUAGAUACCCUGGUAGUCCACGCUGUAAACGGUGGGUGCUAGGUGUGGGGUCCAUUCCACGGGUUCCGUGCCGUAGCUAACGCUUUAAGUACCCCGCCUGGGGAGUACGGCCGCAAGGCUAAAACUCAAAGGAAUUGACGGGGCCCCGCACAAGCGGCGGAGCAUGCGGAUUAAUUCGAUGCAACGCGUAGAACCUUACCUGGGUUUGACAUGGAUCGGGAGUGCUCAGAGAUGGGUGUGCCUCUUUUGGGGUCGGUUCACAGGUGGUGCAUGCCUGUCGUCAGCUCGUGUCGUGAGAUGUUGGGUUAAGUCCCGCAACGAGCGCAACCCUUGUUCACUGUUGCCAGCACGUUAUGGUGGGGACUCAGUGGAGACCGCCGGGGUCAACUCGGAGGAAGGUGGGGAUGACGUCAAGUCAUCAUGCCCCUUAUGUCCAGGGCUUCACGCAUGCUACAAUGGCUGGUACAGAGAGUGGCGAGCCUGUGAGGGUGAGCGAAUCUCGGAAAGCCGGUCUCAGUUCGGAUUGGGGUCUGCAACUCGACCUCAUGAAGUCGGAGUCGCUAGUAAUCGCAGAUCAGCAACGCUGCGGUGAAUACGUUCCCGGGGCU
rnacentral:rRNA from 1 species